UACACUACGCGGACCCAGGGUGAUCCACGGCGCCAGCGCCGCGGAUUGAAACGGGAAUCCGGUGCCGCGCAGGCCUUUCGCCCGCGCCAUUCCGGAGCUGCCCCCGCAACGGUAGGCGAGUUGACGGGGCUGGCCAAUGCCACUGUGCCGCGUGCGGCAUGGGAAGGCGCCAGCCCUUGCAGGUAACCCCUGCGCUCGCGAGCCCGGAGACCGGCCCACGGGUAUCACCGGAC
rnacentral:ncRNA from 1 species